GACGAACGCUGGCGGCGUGCCUUAUACAUGCAAGUCGAACGAAGUGGCGAACGGGUGAGUAACGCGUAAUCAACCUGCCCUUCAGAGGGGGACAACAGUUGGAAACGACUGCUAAUACCGCAUACUGAAGGUGGGGAUUGCGUCUGAUUAGCGAGUUGGAGGGGUAACGGCCCACCAAGGCGAUGAUCAGUAGCCGGUCUGGGGGGAUGGACGGCCACAUUGGGACUGGGACACGGCCCAGAAUCCCACGGGAGGCAGCAGUGGGGAAUCUUCCGCAAUGGACGAAAGUCUGACGGAGCAACGCCGCGGGAGGGAUGACAGCCUUCGGGUUGUAAAGCUCUGUUAAUCGGGGCGCGGUACCGGAAUAGAAAGCCACGGCUAACUACGUGCCAGCAGCCGCGGUAAUAC
rnacentral:rRNA from 1 species